rnacentral:rRNA from 1 species
UUUAAGGUCUAGCCUGCCCAAUGAGGAUUUUAAUGGCCGCAGUAUUUUGACUGUGCAAAGGUAGCAUAAUUAUUAGUUUUUUAAUUGAAAGCUUGUAUGAAGGGUUGGACGAGAUAAAAUCUGUCUUUAUUUAAAUUAAAAUAUAAUUUAACUUUUAAGUAAAAAGGCUUAAAUGUUUAUAAAAGACGAGAAGACCCUAUAGAUCUUUAUUUAAUUAAAAUUUUAAUAAUUUAGGAUUAUUUUAAUUUAAAGUUUUAAUUGAAUUUUAUUGGGGUAAUAUAAAGAUUAAAUAAAUUCUUUUUAUUUAUAACAUUGAUUUAUGAAUAUAUGAUCCAUUAAUAUUGAUUAUAAGAUUAAGUUACCUUAGGGAUAACAGCGUAAUUUUUUUGGAGAGCUCAUAUCGAUAAAAAAGUUUGCGACCUCGAUGUUGGAUUAAAAAUUAGCUUGGGUGCAGAAGCUCAAGAUUUUGGUCUGUUCGACCAUUAAAUUUUUACAUGAUCUGAGUUCAGACCGGCGUAAGCCAGGUCGGUUUCUAUCUUUAUAAAGAUAAAAUGUUUUAGUACGAAAGGACCAGACAUUUAAUAUAAUUAUAUUUUAUUCUU